rnacentral:rRNA from 1 species
UACAGAGUUCCUGCCCUCACGGGUAGAAACCCCACCCUUGUAUAUACUAUAUUGUUGCUUUAGCAGGCCGCCCUCGGGCGUCGGCUCACGCUGACCGUGCCUGCUAGAGGACCCUAAACUCUGAAAUACAGUGUCGUCUGAGUACUAUUUAAUAGUUAAAACUUUCAACAACGGAUCUCUUGGUUCUGGCAUCGAUGAAGAACGCAGCGAAAUGCGAUAAGUAAUGUGAAUUGCAGAAUUCAGUGAAUCAUCGAAUCUUUGAACGCACAUUGCGCCCCUUGGUAUUCCGAGGGGCAUGCCUGUUCGAGCGUCAUUUAUACCAACUCCUCUGUAAAGAGGGUCUUGGACUUCGCCUCUGGGCGGGUCUUAAAAUCAGUGGCGGUGCCUUGAGGCUCUACGCGUAGUAAUACACCCCGCGAUAGACGUCUUAUGGUAUCUUGCCAGCAACCCCCAACUUUCUAGGUUGA